GGAGAGAUGGCUCAGCGGUUAAGAGCACUGACUGCUCUUCCAGAGACCUGAGUUCAAUUCCCAGCAAUUCCA
rfam:Rattus norvegicus chromosome 8, whole genome shotgun sequence.